rnacentral:rRNA from 1 species
GUAGGUGGCAAGCGUUGUCCGGAAUUAUUGGGCGUAAAGCGCGCGCAGGCGGUUCUUUAAGUCUGAUGUGAAAGCCCACGGCUCAACCGUGGAGGGUCAUUGGAAACUGGAGAACUUGAGUACAGGAGAGGAAAGCGGAAUUCCACGUGUAGCGGUGAAAUGCGUAGAGAUGUGGAGGAACACCAGUGGCGAAGGCGGCUUUCUGGUCUGUAACUGACGCUGAGGCGCGAAAGCGUGGGGGAGCAAACAGGAUUAGAUACCCUGGUAGUCCACGCCGUAAACGAUGAGUGCUAAGUGUUAGGGGGUUUCCGCCCCUUAGUGCUGCAGCUAACGCAUUAAGCACUCCGCCUGGGAGUACGGCCGCAAGGCUG